rnacentral:tmRNA from 1 species
GGGGAUGUUUAGGAUUCGACAGGUAUAGGUCGAGCCUAGAUUGCGUUUAGUAGGUUGCGUCUACUAUAAAACGCUCAGUUAAAAUAUAACUGCAAAAAAUACAAACAAUUCAUACGCUUUAGCUGCCUAGUCAGUUCUAGCGUGAUCUAGCUAGCAUCACCCAUGUGCUAGUCCUAGGUCUUAUUAUUAGUGGGUUACGUUUAAUUCUGCCGUUUGAAGAAUUAAAAAGAGAAUUUCAAACUAGUGCAAGGCAUUUGUCCCUGAUAUAUGGCGUAGCAAGGCAUGAAAUUUAAGUAAUAUAUCUAUGAACGUAGAGAUUUAGGUGGCGAUAUGCUUGGACGCGGGUUCGACUCCCGCCAUCUCCAUAU